GAUGAACGCUGGCGGCGUGCCUAAUACAUGCAAGUCGAGCGAACAGACGAGGAGCUUGCUCCUCUGACGUUAGCGGCGGACGGGUGAGUAACACGUGGAUAACCUACCUAUAAGACUGGGAUAACUUCGGGAAACCGGAGCUAAUACCGGAUAAUAUAUUCAACCGCAUGGUUCAAUAGUGAAAGACGGUUUUGCUGUCACUUAUAGAUGGAUCCGCGCCGCAUUAGCUAGUUGGUAAGGUAACGGCUUACCAAGGCAACGAUGCGUAGCCGACCUGAGAGGGUGAUCGCCCACACGGGAACUGAGACAGGGUCCAGACUCCUACGGGAGGCAGCAGUAGGGAAUCUUCCGCAAUGGGCGAAAGCUUGACGGAGCAACGCCGCGUGAGUGAUGAAGGUCUUCGGAUCGUAAAACUCUGUUAUUAGGGAAGAACAAAUGUGUAAGUAACUAUGCACGUCUUGACGGUACCUAAUCAGAAAGCCACGGCUAACUACGUG
rnacentral:rRNA from 1 species